rnacentral:rRNA from 1 species
GAUGAACGCUGGCGGCGUGCCUAAUACAUGCAAGUCGAGCGAACAGAUGAGGAGCUUGCUCCUCUGACGUUAGCGGCGGACGGGUGAGUAACACGUGGAUAACCUACCUAUAAGACUGGGAUAACUUCGGGAAACCGGAGCUAAUACCGGAUAAUAUAUUGAACCGCAUGGUUCAAUAGUGAAAGACGGUUUUGCUGUCACUUAUAGAUGGAUCCGCGCCGCAUUAGCUAGUUGGUAAGGUAACGGCUUACCAAGGCAACGAUGCGUAGCCGACCUGAGAGGGUGGUCGGCCACACUGGAACUGAGACACGGUCCAGACUCCUACGGGAGGCAGCAGUAGGGAAUCUUACGCAAUGGGCGAAAGCCUGACGGAGCAACGCCGCGUGAGUGAUGAAGGUCUUCGGAUCGUAAAACUCUGUUAUUAGGGAAGAACAAAUGUGUAAGUAACUAUGCACGUCUUGACGGUACCUAAUCAGAAAGCCACGGCUAACUACGUG